GACGAACGCUGGCGGCGUGCUUAACACAUGCAAGUCGAACGGAAAGGCCCCUUUGGGGGUACUCGAGUGGCGAACGGGUGAGUAACACGUGAGUAACCUGCCCUUGACUUCGGGAUAACUUCAGGAAACUGGGGCUAAUACCGGAUAGGAAUCCUUGCUGCAUGGUGGGGGUUGGAAAGCUUCGGCGGUUUUGGAUGGACUCGCGGCUUAUCAGCUUGUUGGUGGGGUAGUGGCUAACCAAGGCUUUGACGGGUAGCCGGCCUGAGAGGGCGACCGGCCACAUUGGGACUGAGAUACGGCCCAGACUCCUACGGGAGGCAGCAGUGGGGAAUAUUGCACAAUGGGCGGAAGCCUGAUGCAGCAACGCCGCGUGCGGGAUGACGGCCUUCGGGUUGUAAACCGCUUUCAGCAGGGGCGAAGCUUGUGGUGACGGUACCUGCAGAAGAAGCACCGGCUAACUACGUG
rnacentral:rRNA from 1 species